rnacentral:snoRNA from 1 species
AAGACUGCUUUCAAGAAUCAUUUCUAUAGUUCUCUUGCUACAGAAGUAUGUCUCAGACUGACUGGUCUGACUACCCACAGUGAAGAGUGCUAUGCUCUGCACAGAAGGCCAACAAAGACAGCAGUACUGCUUUGGGGACACAGGUGCUCUCUGUUGUUGAUGAUUGCUUCUCUUUUCCUUUGGGAAAAGCUGCAAGAAGAGAGCACAGUCUGAGUGGU